rnacentral:tRNA from 1 species
GCAUUGGUGGUUUAGUGGUAGAAUUCUCACCUUCCAAGCAGGAGGCCUGGGUUGAAUUCCUGGCCAGUUCA